rnacentral:misc_RNA from 1 species
GAAGUUGAAGGCCCCGAAGAGUUAGCACGGGACGAUGAUAAAGCCAAAUGCUUAAUCCCAGUGACAAACUCCGUCAUAUUAUACUGCAUAGCCAAACUAUCUAUCUGUUCCAAUACUGCUUCAUAAAACUUGGUGGUGUAGCUAUCAAUCAUCCCAGGCAUAUCAUUCUCUUCCAUCCACUUCUUAACCCCAAUCCUCUCCGCAUAGUUGCUCUCUUCCACAUGUAGUUUCAACGAAAUCAUAGCAUCUUUCCCUUCAACCCCAAUUUUGUAAGAGAAAAACACCAAUCCAGCCAAGAACACAACAAUCAUAGCAACAAUCAAGCCAAUUGCAACAAUGGUUUUCAAUCUUUUCAAAAGCCCUUUAGUGAAAAACGCACUAACAGCAGUACGACGAAAACUCAAGCUACGAAACGAAGAAACAUUAUACAUAGUAGGAUCCACAGACUUAGAACUAAACAAAAAGCCUAACCCAAGAAGCGAAACAGACCCAACAACACCAAAGUUCUCAUAAGCAAGUAUAAAAAUCCAAAACGACACAAGCCAUCGCAACAACUUAGAAAACACACUUUGAUUCCUUCUAACAGGCCCAGAUUUCUUCCUCCUAAGAACAACCCGAAAACAAACUUCUCGAAAUUGAACAAG